UCUACAUGUGAACGUGAACUAGGGUGAUCGCAAACCCUACUUCUUCUUCCUGGAAUUGUGAACGGCAGUAGAGCACCCCCCCUUGUCGUGACCGGGUCACCAUUGUUAGAUUCUCCAUACUAUCUUGGUCGCGUGUAGCGGGUUUACUACUUAAAGUAUAGAAGUAAUAAAUCUUACCGAGCACUCUAAGGUCAUUAGGUGAUUGGAAUAGGAGCUUGUUGGCUGGAGAGCAGGAGUGGUCAUGGUCAUGCUGAGGACUUAAUUAUCAAACACUUAUUUAUUAUGAUCGUUUAGUAUUUACUUUAUGAUAUAUUUACGCUUCCG